rnacentral:misc_RNA from 1 species
AAGUCGUAACAAGGUAUCUGUAGGUGAACCUGCAGAUGGAUCAUUUCGAUGAAAACCUUUUUUCUGAGGUGUGGCCCGCACCUGUCUAACUAAACUUGGGCUACCUUUCUUAACACGGUUGCAUCGGUCGGCUGUCAAACAGUGCAAGCUGGGCGACGGUCGACACCCUACCAAAACACUUUUAUGAUCAUUAGGAUUUUGAAGGAAAAUAGACAAAACGGUUGGUAAUGCGAUCGUCUAAAUCUAAAAAACAACUUUUGGCAACGGAUCUCUUGGUUCUCC